ACCCAUUUGUGCUCCUCUCCUCCACCGAGACCUCUUCCCCACUUCACAUCGCUGUUUCCCAAAAAUCGAAUCCCUAAUUUAUGGAGGAACACGGCAGUUUCUCUUCUGCCUACUCCUAUCUCUCCUCCCCUCGGCGAAAUCGCCGCUCAUCUGCGUCGCCGGAUCCGCCUCUUCCGCAUAUCGGGUUCCACUUCCGUCGAUCUCUCUCUCUCACUUUCAAGAUUAGGAACCUCUAGAUCGUAAGGAAUCGGCGGAGCCCCUAUCUCCACGCCGUUGCUGAACAGCCGCCCCGUGAAGAGCUAAGUUUCCCUUCUUCUCCAACUUAGCUUAAUUUGUGGUUUAAUUCGGUAGUAGCUAUGUUGGGCAAUUUGAUCAUGAUGUUCUAAAGUUUUGAUAUUGGGGAAAAAUUUAGCUCACUGGAAUUAGCUCUUGGUAGGGAAUUACUUGACAUGUUUAUACCGAUAUUUGGGCAGUAGCUAUGGUAACUGAUUAAUCGUUGAUCCCAUCGCUAUGAUUUUCCUACGUGAGCAUGCUGCCUAUGAUUCUAAGUUCUGGAAUUGUUCAUGUGGCUGUUCUAUAUGAUGCAAGAGAGGGGUGCUAUGGUUUACCUCACUUGGUGUUUCGUGUGACUUGUUGGCUGAUCCUCUCUUGCUCCCUGCCGUUGCCUCUCCCUCGAAAUUCCUUGGUGUUACUUAUGGAGAGUAGGAACUUCCCUUGGUGCAAGAACUCUCUGCAGAAACUUUACUCACUCACUAACUCUCAAACUUGCUAUUGUGGCUGUAAAUUUCAAAGUGUGUGGGAGGAUAUCCAUCGGUGGUGUUGAGGGGGGUUUUAUAGGCGAGAGUGUGGUGUACUUGGGUGAAAUAAAUGGCUGAUACUGCAGUUUGUCUUCAUUUUGCAGCAUAUCCCUUUAUUUGAUCCACCUUGCAGCACUCUAAUUUAAGGAACUUGGUGUUUUGCCUGAGCCCAAGUGCUAACAUUUAUGUGUCUUGUUUAGUUUUGCAGGUAGAUACAGGUGAGGAGCUGGAGCGGUUGGGAGAGAGGGAAGAGAUGCAGGGCUGACUUGCCCUUUUUGGCAUGGUGCUUUGAUCCUACCUUCUUGAGAGGAGGACACUACAGAGCUGACUUUGCCAUCUUGGUGGGGAAGGUGACUUGGCUGCCACAUUGCUGUCCGAGACCUGGGUUCGUCGCCCUCUGCUCGACGGGCUGGCCGGACACGGGUCGUGGAGGAGUGCGAUUUGGGCUUGGGGAAAAGAGGCCCGGGCUUAGGGAAAAGAGGCCCGGAGUGCAAGCAUUACAAGGUUUAAUUUCUUAAGCUUUUUGGCCCAUUCAUGAAUGUUUUGUAAUAGCAUCCAAUAUUCUUUUUCUUCAAUUCAUAACCCACGCGUACGAUGAUCAUGUAAGUUAAUGUAUUAUUUGAGAUGUAUGCGAACACUUUAGUUCGGGAAUGAUAUCUUCAUUUUCUUCCUCAA